GUGAAGAACGUAGCGAAAUGCGAUAAGUAAUGCGAAUUGCAGAAUUCCGUGAGUCAUCGAAUCUUUGAACGCACAUUGCGCCCUCUGGUAUUCCGGAGGGCAUGCCUGUCUGAGCGUCAUUGUCAACCCUCAAGCUCAGCUUGCUGUUGGGUCCCCGUCGUUGCUUUAACGGCGGACCCGAAAGGUAAUGGCAGAGUCCGUGAGACCCUAGACGCAGCGAGCUUCUAGCACGCGUCUGGACGUUUUUCGGGCUCGGUCUUAACUAGAUGAUAACUUCCGAUUGACCUCAGAUCAGGUAGGGAUACCCGCUGAACUUAAGCAUAUCAAUAAGCGGAGGA
rnacentral:misc_RNA from 1 species